UACGUAGGGUGCAAGCGUUAAUCGGAAUUACUGGGCGUAAAGCGUGCGCAGGCGGUUGUGCAAGACAGAUGUGAAAUCCCCGGGCUCAACCUGGGAAUUGCAUUUGUGACUGCACGGCUAGAGUAUGGCAGAGGGGGGUAGAAUUCCACGUGUAGCAGUGAAAUGCGUAGAGAUGUGGAGGAAUACCGAUGGCGAAGGCAGCCCCCUGGGCCAAUACUGACGCUCAUGCACGAAAGCGUGGGGAGCAAACAGG
rnacentral:rRNA from 1 species